CUAAGACAACCCUGACGGAACCAAAGUUUCCAGCCACGGCCAGCUCUCCGAAUGACGAGCUUCCGCCUCCCUGAGCCGCUCUGCCAGUUUUUACGUGGGAACUGAAGCAUCAGAAAUUUCUAGGUUUUUUUUCCUCCCCUUCCUGGGGCAAAUCUCCGUCUGCACCUUGCGCGGCGCUUGGGAACAGGACAAGUGAAGACAUCCAGCAUGGCUCAGGGAUCCGGGGAUCAGAGAGCAGUGGGGAUCGCUGACCCAGAGGACAGUUCUCCAAAUAUGAUAGUCUACCGCAAAGUAAGGCAUCUGCUUAAAUGCGGGGGGCGCUGCCUUGUGUGUAUUUGGGCUCUGUGUAGGGUUGACUGAUGGUUGACUGCUGGAGUCAUGUUUAUUGCCUGAACUCCCUUGACUGAUACAUGAAUAUCAUUUUCUUCUCAUAUCCUCCAAUUUCCCUAUUAAACACUUCCUGGAAGUUAACUUUUGCCCUGCUUUGCAUUGAACACUUGAAAAAUAUUAUAUGGAUUCGUUUUCUUCAAACCAAAGGUGGCCUACACAAUGCAGAUAGACACGGUAUUGUCCCUCUGUGGAAAGGCCUUAGUGUAACAUUAGUUAAUUGAAUGCUCUUCAAAGCCAUAGCACACACAAGAUCUGCUCUAGAUGCUGUGGGGGACGGGGAGUGCAAAGGUAUGUAUGGGUGAGAUGUUUUACAGUUCUUGGAGACAUAAGCUAUACACGGAUAACUGUUAUAGAGUCUAAGCGUUAAAAAUUCCCCAAAGAGAAGCGAGAGUAGAGUGUUACCUCGGCGGGGGGGGCGGGGGGGUGGUGGGGGGAGACGAUUACUUCCAGCCUCCCAUGUCUGGAUUGGGCUGCGGAGGAUGCGCCUUUGAACUCAGUUUUAAAGGAUCCAUAGGAUUGCUUUAUGUGGAAAACAGAAGGAAAGAGCCAUGUUCCAGGCCCCGAGAUGCCUCCAGCAAAGGCAAAGGGCUGGCAAAAAGUGAAGGGCAAGCAGAACCUGUGAGCUUGGGCAGAGGAUGAAUUAUAAGUAAUUGGAGUAAAUGGAGGUGAGAUUUGGGGACGAAAGUCUGGAUGGAGCCAGAUUUUAGAAUGUUGAGUCAUAGGCAGUUGAAUUUAAUUUGAAAUACUUUAGUGCCAGGAGAUGUAAGAUCAACAUUUAUUUGGGAUUAUGAGCCUUGCCCCGGGGUGCCAAGGGCACCAUGGAGGCUUUAGUGGGGGUGUUUCUGUACAUAUGAGAAAGGUGAAGCGGACACGAAUCUAGCAGGAAAUGCCCCUCAGAAAUGAGUGGGGCUGAGCAGAGUGAUUCAAGGGUCUGAAUUCACAAUGACUUGAAAACAGAAUGAAUAUAAUAUUAGAAGGUGAGUCACAGAUGACUGGGUUUUUGACCUUGGGUAAUAGAAACGCAUCGGUGCUAUUCAUUCAAGUAGGAAUAUUUGGAAGAAUAUGUUUUAAAGGAAGGAAAGAUGGCACGUAAGGUUUUAUUUGUGCAUGUGUUGAAUUUGAGAACCUAAUUGCUGCUUCUUAUAUGCCUUUUUAAUAUUUGCAAUGCAGUGAAAAUCUAACCUGACCACAUCACAUAUUAAUAAGGAAAAUGUGUUCCUGCUCAUUCAUUUCACUAAAUAUUUGAGUUGUCUGCUAGGUUCUGUGUAUUCUGCAAGAUUCUGUUCUCUCUAUGUUAAUCAUAUGCAUAAUGUUGAACUAGAUAUUCCUGGAUGCUCAAUAUGGUGAAUUUUUCUCUUCUCCUUGUGAAAAUAGAACUCUCAAAUGAAUCUCACUUUUGGUAUCAAAUUCCUUAAUCCUUUGCUUUGCAAAAGAAUGCUUAGAUAACCUAUCUUUAAGAGAGAUGCUUAUCAAUUAUAGUAAAGAGAAAAGAGAUUAAUGGGGCCAACCAAGCCAGUGAGGCAUACAGAAUAAUAGAAAGACAUUUAUUCACCUCCUAACCCACCUCAAGCUAGGAAACCCUGUGCCAUCCUCAUAGGAACAUGGGAUUUGGAGUGAAGACGCGGGUUACAUUG
rnacentral:lncRNA from 1 species